rnacentral:rRNA from 1 species
UACAGAGGGGGCAAGCGUUGUUCGGAAUUACUGGGCGUAAAGGGCGCGUAGGCGGCCUUCUAAGUCGAACGUGAAAUCCCCGGGCUCAACCCGGGAACUGCGUCCGAUACUGGAAGGCUUGAAUCCGGGAGAGGGAUGCGGAAUUCCAGGUGUAGCGGUGAAAUGCGUAGGUAUCAGGAGGAACACCUGCGGUGUAGACGGCUUUCUGGACCAUUGCUGACGCUGAGACACGAAAGCGUGGGUAGCAAACAGG